CCUACGGGUGGCUGCAGUGGGGAAUAUUGGACAAUGGGGGGAACCCUGAUCCAGCCAUGCCGCGUGUGUGAAGAAGGCCCUCGGGUUGUAAAGCACUUUCAGUGAGGAAGAACGCCUGGUGGUUAAUACCCAUCAGGAAAGACAUCACUCACAGAAGAAGCACCGGCUAACUCCGUGCCAGCAGCCGCGGUAAUACGGAGGGUGCGAGCGUUAAUCGGAAUUACUGGGCGUAAAGCGCGCGUAGGUGGCUUGAUAAGCCGGUUGUGAAAGCCCCGGGCUCAACCUGGGAACGGCAUCCGGAACUGUCAAGCUAGAGUGCAGGAGAGGAAGGUAGAAUUCCCGGUGUAGCGGUGAAAUGCAUAGAGAUCGGGAGGAAUACCAGUGGCGAAGGCGGCCUUCUGGACUGACACUGACACUGAGGUGCGAAAGCGUGGGUAGCAAACAGGAUUAGAUACCCCUGUAGUC
rnacentral:rRNA from 1 species